rnacentral:rRNA from 1 species
AUUGAACGCUGGCGGCAUGCCUAACACAUGCAAGUCGAACGGCAGCAUGAAUAGGGGUAACCUUAUUUGAUGGCGAGUGGCGGACGGGUGAGUAAUAUGUAGGAAUCUACCUAGAGGAGGGGGAUAACUUGGGGAAACCCAAGCUAAUACCACAUAAGCCCUACGGGGGAAAGCAGGGGACCGCAAGGCCUUGCGCCUUAUGAUGAGCCUACAUCGGAUUAGCUAGUUGGUGGGGUAAAGGCCUACCAAGGCGACGAUCCGUAGCUGGUCUGAGAGGAUGAGCAGCCACACUGGGACUGAGACACGGCCCAGACUCCUACGGGAGGCAGCAGUGGGGAAUAUUGGACAAUGGGCGAAAGCCUGAUCCAGCAAUGCCGCGUGUGUGAAGAAGGCCUUAGGGUUGUAAAGCACUUUCAGUAGGGAGGAAGGGUGUAACGCUAAUAUCGUUGCACAUUGACGUUACCUACAGAAGAAGCACCGGCUAACUCUGUGCCAGCCGCCGCGGUAA